CAUGCCUCUCAAAACCAACAAUUUGUUGUUGACAAUUGUUGUUCUAGUCGGCAAAAGAUUGCAAAAUCAUCAUCUUGCAUUUUUGUUACAAGCGGUAGAAUGAAAAACCCUGAAUUUCUCACCCAAAUUUCCUCAAUUCUCAAGAAACAGGACUACUUAUGAUUUUCCUUCUUCCUUUCAUGAGAGCUCUCAUCUGAUCAGUCCCGAAGCUUAUGUCGAUUCUACCCUGGUAGAAUACAAAGAGCAGUAAGGGUAAUAUUGACGUGAUUUCAGAUACGCUGUACAUCCAACGGUCCAACGGUCCAAAACUCAUCCCCAUAGCCAAAGGCCCAUUCGACCGUUGGAUCUGAUCGACAGAGAGAGAGAGAGAGGGAGCUGGGAUCGACGGCGAAGUGACGAGAAAAAGGCUUUGGCUUUCUCGGCCCUCACUUCUCUCAAGCUCUUGAUCGACGGCGAAUUUACUAUGGUGGUCCACACACACUCACAAGGGAUGUAACUUACUAGCUUCUUCUGGUCUCAUGGUAUGUUAAAUAGUGAUAGUUUGUGUGUCACACCUUUUUGUUUUGGCCUUUACAACAUCAUUUGGGAAGGCCAUCUGGGGUUGUUUCGAAUCGAAAAUUAGGCAAGCCAUCAAGAGAAUUGGGACCGGGAGAUUGAAGACAGUGCUUGUAGAUGAACUCUGUGUUGACAGAGGUUAUAUGAAAACCUCUAUGGUACAGGAGUUUUGCUAAUUUCAGCAUUGCCUUUAUAUGGCUUGGAAAUGGAAGUUGAAUACAUCUUGCUAUAACAUUAACAACAAAAAUUAAUAUUAUUCUUA